rnacentral:rRNA from 1 species
CCCUUAGACGUUCUGGGCCGCACGCGCGCUACACUGACCAGUGCAACAAGCAUCCGUCCUUGGCCGACAGGCCCGGGCAAUCUUUGAACGCUGGUCGUGAUGGGGAUAGACCCUUGCAAUUAUGGGUCUUCAACGAGGAAUUCCUAGUAAACGCAAGUCAUCAGCUUGCAUUGAUUACGUCCCUGCCCUUUGUACACACCGCCCGUCGCACCUACCGAUUGAAUGGUCCGGUGAAAUCUCGGGACGGCGGCUUGGUCGCUUGCGUCCGACUGCUGAAACUUGAUUAAACCAUAUCAUUUAGAGGAAGGUGAAGUCGUAACA